UUAAGCGACUAAGCGUACACGGUGGAUGCCCUGGCAGUCAGAGGCGAUGAAGGACGUGCUAAUCUGCGAAAAGCGCCGGCGAGGUGAUAUGAACCUUUGACCCGGCGAUGUCCGAAUGGGGAAACCCAGUGUGUUCCGACACACUAUCGUUAACUGAAUACAUAGGUUAACGAGGCGAACCGGGGGAACUGAAACAUCUAAGUACCCCGAGGAAAAGAAAUCAACCGAGAUUCCCCCAGUAGCGGCGAGCGAACGGGGAGCAGCCCAGAGUCUGAAUCAGCUUGUGUGUUAGUGGAAGCGUCUGGAAAGUCGCACGGUACAGGGUGACAGUCCCGUACACGAAAACGCACAGGUUGUGAACUCGAAGAGUAGGGCGGGACACGUGGUAUCCUGUCUGAAUAUGGGGGGACCAUCCUCCAAGGCUAAAUACUCCUGACUGACCGAUAGUGAACCAGUACCGUGAGGGAAAGGCGAAAAGAACCCCGGCGAGGGGAGUGAAAAAGAACCUGAAACCGUGUACGUACAAGCAGUGGGAGCACCUUCGGGUGUGACUGCGUACCUUUUGUAUAAUGGGUCAGCGACUUAUAUUCUGUAGCAAGGUUAACCGUAUAGGGGAGCCGAAGGGAAACCGAGUCUUAACUGGGCGUUAAGUUGCAGGGUAUAGACCCGAAACCCGGUGAUCUAGCCAUGGGCAGGUUGAAGGUUGGGUAACACUAACUGGAGGACCGAACCGACUAAUGUUGAAAAAUUAGCGGAUGACUUGUGGCUGGGGGUGAAAGGCCAAUCAAACCGGGAGAUAGCUGGUUCUCCCCGAAAGCUAUUUAGGUAGCGCCUCGUGAACUCAUCUUCGGGGGUAGAGCACUGUUUCGGCUAGGGGGCCAUCCCGGCUUACCAACCCGAUGCAAACUACGAAUACCGAAGAAUGUUAUCACGGGAGACACACGGCGGGUGCUAACGUCCGUCGUGAAGAGGGAAACAACCCAGACCGCCAGCUAAGGUCCCAAAGUCAUGGUUAAGUGGGAAACGAUGUGGGAAGGCACAGACAGCCAGGAUGUUGGCUUAGAAGCAGCCAUCAUUUAAAGAAAGCGUAAUAGCUCACUGGUCGAGUCGGCCUGCGCGGAAGAUGUAACGGGGCUAAACCAUGCACCGAAGCUGCGGCAGCGACACUAUGUGUUGUUGGGUAGGGGAGCGUUCUGUAAGCCGUUGAAGGUGUGCUGUGAGGCAUGCUGGAGGUAUCAGAAGUGCGAAUGCUGACAUAAGUAACGAUAAAGCGGGUGAAAAGCCCGCUCGCCGGAAGACCAAGGGUUCCUGUCCAACGUUAAUCGGGGCAGGGUGAGUCGACCCCUAAGGCGAGGCCGAAAGGCGUAGUCGAUGGGAAACAGGUUAAUAUUCCUGUACUUGGUGUUACUGCGAAGGGGGGACGGAGAAGGCUAUGUUAGCCGGGCGACGGUUGUCCCGGUUUAAGCAUGUAGGCGGAACGAUUAGGUAAAUCCGGUCGUUUAUUAACGCUGAGGUGUGAUGACGAGGCACUACGGUGCUGAAGUAACAAAUGCCCUGCUUCCAGGAAAAGCCUCUAAGCAUCAGGUAACAUUAAAUCGUACCCCAAACCGACACAGGUGGUCAGGUAGAGAAUACCAAGGCGCUUGAGAGAACUCGGGUGAAGGAACUAGGCAAAAUGGUGCCGUAACUUCGGGAGAAGGCACGCUGAUAUGUAGGUGAAGCCCCUGCGGGUGGAGCUGAAAUCAGUCGAAGAUACCAGCUGGCUGCAACUGUUUAUUAAAAACACAGCACUGUGCAAACACGAAAGUGGACGUAUACGGUGUGACGCCUGCCCGGUGCCGGAAGGUUAAUUGAUGGGGUUAGCGGCAACGCGAAGCUCUUGAUCGAAGCCCCGGUAAACGGCGGCCGUAACUAUAACGGUCCUAAGGUAGCGAAAUUCCUUGUCGGGUAAGUUCCGACCUGCACGAAUGGCGUAAUGAUGGCCAGGCUGUCUCCACCCGAGACUCAGUGAAAUUGAACUCGCUGUGAAGAUGCAGUGUACCCGCGGCAAGACGGAAAGACCCCGUGAACCUUUACUAUAGCUUGACACUGAACACUGGUCCUUGAUGUGUAGGAUAGGUGGGAGGCUUUGAAGUGUGGACGCCAGUCUGCAUGGAGCCGUCCUUGAAAUACCACCCUUUAAUGGCUGGUGUUCUAACGUAGACCCGUGAUCCGGGUUGCGGACAGUGUCUGGUGGGUAGUUUGACUGGGGCGGUCUCCUCCCAAAGAGUAACGGAGGAGCACGAAGGUUAGCUAAUCCUGGUCGGACAUCAGGAGGUUAGUGCAAUGGCAUAAGCUAGCUUGACUGCGAGAGUGACGGCUCGAGCAGGUGCGAAAGCAGGUCAUAGUGAUCCGGUGGUUCUGAAUGGAAGGGCCAUCGCUCAACGGAUAAAAGGUACUCCGGGGAUAACAGGCUGAUACCGCCCAAGAGUUCAUAUCGACGGCGGUGUUUGGCACCUCGAUGUCGGCUCAUCACAUCCUGGGGCUGAAGUAGGUCCCAAGGGUAUGGCUGUUCGCCAUUUAAAGUGGUACGCGAGCUGGGUUUAGAACGUCGUGAGACAGUUCGGUCCCUAUCUGCCGUGGGCGCUGGAGAAUUGAGGGGGGCUGCUCCUAGUACGAGAGGACCGGAGUGGACGCAUCACUGGUGUUCGGGUUGUCAUGCCAAUGGCACUGCCCGGUAGCUAAAUGCGGAAAAGAUAAGUGCUGAAAGCAUCUAAGCACGAAACUUGCCCCGAGAUGAGUUCUCCCUGAGACUUUAAGUCUCCUGAAGGAACGUUGAAGACGACGACGUUGAUAGGUCGGGUGUGUAAGCGCAGCGAUGCGUUGAGCUAACCGAUACUAAUGAACCGUGAGGCUUAACCUU
rnacentral:rRNA from 1 species